CGCCUCUUGCCAAACUAACGAAUAAGAGGUCCUGCCUGCCCCCUGACCAUGUGUUUAACGGCCGCGGUAUUUUAACCGUGCAAAGGUAGCGUAAUCAUUUGUCUUUUAAAUAAGGACCCGUAUGAACGGCAACACGAGGGCUUGACUGUCUCCUUUUUCAAGUCAGUGAAAUUGAUUUUUCCGUGCAGAAGCGGGAAUUUUUACAUAAGACGAGAAGACCCUGUGGAGCUUUAGACACCAAGACAGACUAUGUAAGAACAGCCCUUUAUUAAAAGACCGAACAAAUUUUACCUGCCCUAAUGUCUUCGGUUGGGGCGACCCUGGGGAGUCACAAAACCCCCACGUGGAAUGGAAGCGACCACUUAUGCUACCACAACCAAGAGCUUCCCCUCAAAUUAACAGAAUUUCUGACCAAACUAUGAUCCGGCAACGCCGAUUAACGAACCAAGUUACCCCAGGGAUAACAGCGCAAUCCUCUUUUAGAGCCCAUAUCGACAAGAAGGUUUACGACCUCGAUGUUGGAUCAGGACAUCCUAAUGGUGCAACCGCUAUUAAGGGUUCGUUUGUUCAACGAUUAAAGUCCU
rnacentral:rRNA from 1 species